ensembl:lncRNA
UAGGUCGCUCAACGAGGGCUCAGGAUGGUUCAAGGAGGGGGUUCUAGGUCACCCAACAGUUUGGGGGGACCCAACAGUGGUUGGGGAGGGUCUUAUGGGCUUUCUGGGUUCCUCAAGGGGGGCUUGGGAUCGUUCAAGGGGGAGAGGGUUCUAGGUCAUUCAUCAGUUUGGAGGGACUCUAUGGGUGCUCAAGGGCACCCAGCAGGGGCUUGGGAGGGGGCCUAUGGAUGCUCUGGGUCACCCAGUGGGCUCUUGGGGUGGUUCAAGGGGGUUCUAGAUCACCCAACAGCUCAAGGUGAUCCUGUAGGCCCUCUAGGUCAUCCAGUGGCUGCUCAGGGUGGGGAUCUAUGGGGCUUUAUGUCACCCCACAGAGGCCCAGGGAGGGGGGAUAUGGGCAUUCUAGGUCACCCAAUGGGCUCUUGGGGUGGUUCAAGAGGGGAUUCUAGGUCACUCAACAGCUCAAGGGGACCCUCCGGGUGCUUGAAGGCACCCAACAGGGACUUGGGGGGGGGGCCUAUGGGCAUUCUAGAUCACCCAAAGGGGGCUUGGGAUCAUUCAAGGGGGGGGCUCUAGGUCAUCCAACAGUUUGGAGGGACCCUAUGGGUCCUCUAGGUCACCCAGUGGGUGCUCAGGGUGGGGCUGUAGGUCACCCAACAGCUCAGGGGGACCCCAUCAGGGCUCAAGGGCACCCAACAGGGGCUUGGGCAGACCCUACGGGUGUUCUUGGUCACCCAACAGGAGCCCACAGAGAUCCUAUGGGUGCUUGAGGGCACUGGGCAAGUCCUCAGGAGGACCCUAUGGGCACCUGAAGGCACCCAACAGGCAGCCGGAGGGACCGUGUGGGUGCUUUAGAUCACCCAACACUACUGGGUGAUCCCAUAGGACGUCUUGGUCACCCAUUGGUCCUCUGCAUGGCCCACGCGCCCCACCGGAUGUGUGGCGCACCCCACAGGUGUCCUUGGCGGCCGUGUGGGUGCUCUCAGCUGCCCAAAGGUGCUCGAGGGGAUCCCAUGGGUGCCUUCGGGCACCCCUUGGGUGAGGGAGGCGGCCGUGGACGCGCUCUAGAUGUCCCAAGGAGGUUCUAGGUGACUCAGCAGUGCUCGUGGGACCCUCACGUCAGCCAGGAUGGAGCACCCACUGCCCCGGGGUCAUUCUCCGGGUGUGGUUUGAGGCCACACAAUGAGCCUGGCACCCUUGCCCUGGCAUGGAGCUGAGGGGUUCUAGGUCAUCCAAUGAGUCUGGUGCCAUUGUCCUAGCACAGUGGGUUCUAGGUCACUCAACGGGCCCAGCUCCAUAUAGUCCUGGCACGGAGGAUGCUCUAGGCCACCCAAUGACCUGAGCUCCAUCGCCCAGGAGCAGCAGGUUCUAGGUCACCCAACGAGUCUGGCACCAUUGCCCCAGCACAGAGGGUUCUAGGUCACUCAAUGGGCCCAGCUCCGUAUAGUCCUGGCACGGAGGAUGCUCUAGGCCACCCAAUGACCUGAGCUCCAUCGCCCGGGAGCGGCAGGUUCUAGGUCACCCAACGAGUCUGGCACCAUUGCCCCAGCACAGAGGGUUCUAGGUCACUCAAUGG